rnacentral:rRNA from 1 species
AGUGAACGCUGGCGGUAGGCCUAACACAUGCAAGUCGAACGGCAGCACAGUAAGAGCUUGCUCUUACGGGUGGCGAGUGGCGGACGGGUGAGGAAUACAUCGGAAUCUACUUUUUCGUGGGGGAUAACGUAGGGAAACUUACGCUAAUACCGCAUACGACCUACGGGUGAAAGCAGGGGAUCUUCGGACCUUGCGCGAUUGAAUGAGCCGAUGUCGGAUUAGCUAGUUGGCGGGGUAAAGGCCCACCAAGGCGACGAUCCGUAGCUGGUCUGAGAGGAUGAUCAGCCACACUGGAACUGGAACACGGACCAGACUCCUACGGGAGGCAGCAGUGGGGAAUAUUGGACAAUGGGCGCAAGCCUGGUCCAGCCAUACCGCGUGGGUGAAGAAGGCCUUCGGGUUGUAAAGCCCUUUUGUUGGGAAAGAAAAGCAGCAGGUUAAUACCCCGCUGUUCUGACGGUACCCAAAGAAUAAGCACCGGCUAACUUCGUG